UACGUAGGUGGCAAGCGUUGUCCGGAAUUAUUGGGCGUAAAGCGCGCGCAGGCGGUCCUUUAAGUCUGAUGUGAAAGCCCACGGCUCAACCGUGGAGGGUCAUUGGAAACUGGGGGACUUGAGUACAGAAGAGAAGAGUGGAAUUCCACGUGUAGCGGUGAAAUGCGUAGAGACGUGGAGGAACACCAGUGGCGAAGGCGACUCUUUGGUCUGUAACUGACGCUGAGGCGCGAAAGCGUGGGGAGCAAACAGG
rnacentral:rRNA from 1 species